rnacentral:rRNA from 1 species
UACGUAGGGUGCAAGCGUUAAUCGGAAUUACUGGGCGUAAAGCGUGCGCAGGCGGUUCGCUAAGACAGAUGUGAAAGCCCCGGGCUCAACCUGGGAAUGGCAUUGGAAACUGGCGGACUCGAGUGUGGCAGAGGGGGGUGGAAUUCCGCGUGUAGCAGUGAAAUGCGUAGAGAUGCGGAGGAACACCGAUGGCGAAGGCAGCCCCCUGGGCUAACACUGACGCUCAGGCACGAAAGCGUGGGGAGCAAACAGA